CGAAAUUAUAGGGUUUAACGAUCAAUUACCGAUCGCUAAACCCCGGGACGAAGUGAUACGCGAACGGACGAGCCGAUCCACGCUGCGCUGCGCUGCUCCCCAGUCCCCACCCCCAUCCAAUCCGUCGCCGUCUCGCCAGUGCCCCGUCCCUUUCCUGUCCUUCCUCGCGCUCCCCGCAUCUAAUCCUCGCGGAGCUGAGCGCCACCUUCGCUGCCGCUAGUGCUGCCACCACCGGGCUCGUAGCGCGCGUCGUCGGUUGCCUCCCCUCCGCGCGCAAGCCCGGGCCGGCUCGGUUCUGAGACGCGGUGGUUCGGGAGGUUCCUGGGGACGCGCGCGGAAUGCGGUGAACCGGCGGGGGGUUCGGUUGUGGGGUCCCGCGCGGAUUGGUUACCAGUGAGCGACCGGCGCGGGCGCCAUGGACGGCGGCAGCGGCGAUGGUGCGAAAUCGGGGAAGCAUGGGGGCGGUCAGUUGUGCCAGAUCUGCGGCGACGGCGUGGGCACGACGGCGGACGGCGAGCUCUUCACCGCCUGUGACGUCUGCGGGUUCCCGGUGUGCCGCCCCUGCUACGAGUACGAGCGCAAGGACGGCACCCAGGCGUGCCCGCAGUGCAAGACCAAGUAUAAGCGCCACAAGGGUAUGCCCUCCUCGCCAUUUCCAUGGGUUCCCUUGCAGUUCAGGUUAAGGACAGCAGGGAGCCCUCCGGUACACGGUGUGGAAGGCGAGGAUGUUGAUGCUGACUAUGCAAGUGACUACAACUACCCAGCAUCUGGCAACCAGGAUCAGAAGCAGAAAUUUGCCGAGAGAAUGCUCACCUGGCGCAUGAACUCAGGACGUAGUGAUGAUGUUGGCCAUGCUAAGUAUGACAGUGGUGAGAUUGGGCAUGCGAAGUAUGACAGUGGUGAGAUCCCUCGUGGAUACAUCCCAUCACUCACUCAUAGCCAGAUCUCAGGAGAAAUUCCUGGUGCUUCCCCUGACCAUAUGAUGUCUCCUGUUGGGAAUAUUGGCAGGCGCGGACACCAGUUUCCAUAUGUGAAUCAUUCUCCAAACCCAUCAAGGGAGUUCUCCGGUAGCCUUGGCAAUGUUGCAUGGAAAGAGAGAGUGGAUGGCUGGAAAAUGAAGGACAAGGGUGCAAUUCCUAUGACCAAUGGGACCAGCAUUGCUCCCUCGGAAGGACGUGGAGUUGGUGAUAUCGAUGCAUCUACUGACUAUAACAUGGAAGAUGCCUUACUGAAUGAUGAAACUCGGCAACCUCUAUCUAGAAAAGUACCAAUUCCUUCAUCCAGAAUAAAUCCCUACAGAAUGGUUAUCAUCCUACGUUUGAUUGUCCUAUGCAUUUUCCUGCACUACCGGAUCACAAAUCCUGUGCGCAAUGCAUAUCCACUAUGGCUGCUGUCUGUUAUAUGUGAGAUUUGGUUUGCUCUGUCCUGGAUUUUGGAUCAGUUCCCGAAGUGGUCCCCAAUCAACCGUGAAACUUACCUUGAUAGACUGGCUUUAAGGUAUGACCGAGAAGGCGAACCAUCUCAGUUGGCUCCUGUUGAUAUUUUCGUCAGUACUGUGGAUCCUAUGAAGGAACCUCCUCUUGUCACUGCCAAUACUGUGCUUUCCAUCCUUGCUGUGGACUACCCGGUUGACAAGGUAUCUUGUUAUGUGUCUGAUGAUGGAGCUGCGAUGCUGAGUUUUGAUGCCCUUGCUGAAACUUCAGAGUUUGCUAGAAAAUGGGUACCAUUCUGUAAGAAGUACAACAUAGAACCUAGGGCUCCAGAGUGGUACUUCGCUCAGAAAAUUGAUUACUUGAAAGACAAAGUUCAAACUUCAUUUGUUAAAGACCGCCGGGCCAUGAAGAGAGAAUAUGAAGAAUUCAAAGUCCGUAUCAAUGGCCUUGUAGCCAAGGCACAGAAAGUUCCUGAGGAGGGAUGGAUCAUGCAAGAUGGUACACCUUGGCCUGGGAACAAUACCAGGGACCAUCCUGGAAUGAUUCAGGUUUUCCUUGGUCACAGUGGAGGUCUUGAUGCUGAGGGCAAUGAACUUCCUCGUUUGGUUUAUGUGUCUCGUGAAAAACGUCCUGGAUUCCAGCAUCACAAGAAGGCUGGUGCCAUGAAUGCACUUGUUCGUGUAUCAGCUGUCCUUACAAAUGGGCAAUACUUGUUGAAUCUUGACUGUGAUCACUACAUCAACAAUAGCAAGGCUCUCCGGGAGGCUAUGUGCUUCCUUAUGGACCCAAACCUAGGAAGGAAUGUCUGUUAUGUCCAAUUUCCUCAAAGGUUCGAUGGUAUUGAUAGGAAUGACCGAUAUGCAAACAGGAACACAGUGUUUUUCGAUAUUAACUUGAGAGGUCUUGAUGGCAUUCAAGGACCAGUUUAUGUGGGUACUGGUUGUGUGUUCAACAGAACGGCCUUAUAUGGUUAUGAACCCCCAAUCAAGAAGAAAAAGGCGGGUUUCUUCUCUUCGCUUUGUGGGGGAAGGAAGAAGACAGCAAAAUCUAAGAAGAGCUCGGAGAAGAAGAAGAAGUCACACAAGCACGCAGACAGUUCUGUGCCGGUAUUCAAUCUUGAAGAUAUAGAGGAAGGGGUUGAAGGUUCUGGAUUUGAUGAUGAGAAAUCGCUUAUUAUGUCUCAAAUGAGCUUGGAGAAGAGAUUUGGCCAGUCCAGUGUUUUUGUAGCCUCUACUCUGAUGGAAUAUGGUGGUGUUCCUCAGUCUGCAACUCCAGAGUCUCUUCUGAAAGAAGCUAUCCAUGUCAUCAGCUGCGGCUAUGAGGACAAAUCUGACUGGGGAACUGAGAUUGGAUGGAUCUAUGGUUCUGUUACAGAAGACAUUCUCACUGGGUUCAAGAUGCAUGCUCGAGGCUGGCGGUCAAUCUACUGCAUGCCUAAGCUACCAGCAUUCAAGGGGUCUGCUCCUAUCAACCUUUCAGAUCGUCUGAAUCAAGUGCUUCGGUGGGCUCUUGGUUCCAUUGAAAUUCUUUUCAGCAGGCAUUGCCCCAUAUGGUAUGGCUAUGGAGGACGGCUUAAGUUCCUGGAGAGAUUUGCUUACGUCAACACCACAAUUUAUCCACUCACAUCGAUCCCACUCCUCUUGUACUGCAUAUUGCCGGCUGUUUGUCUUCUCACUGGGAAGUUCAUCAUCCCAGAGAUUAGUAACUUUGCGAGUAUUUGGUUUAUAUCGCUCUUUAUCUCAAUCUUUGCCACUGGUAUCCUUGAGAUGAGGUGGAGUGGUGUUGGCAUUGAUGAAUGGUGGAGGAAUGAGCAGUUUUGGGUUAUUGGUGGUAUUUCUGCGCAUCUAUUUGCCGUCUUCCAGGGUCUCCUUAAGGUUCUUGCCGGUAUCGACACCAGCUUCACUGUGACCUCUAAGGCCACUGAUGAAGAAGGUGAUUUUGCCGAGCUCUACAUGUUCAAGUGGACAACACUUCUGAUCCCACCAACAACUAUUUUGAUCAUAAACCUGGUUGGUGUGGUUGCCGGUAUUUCCUAUGCGAUCAACAGCGGUUACCAGUCAUGGGGGCCUCUCUUUGGGAAGCUCUUCUUUGCCUUCUGGGUGAUUGUUCAUUUAUACCCCUUCCUCAAGGGUCUCAUGGGGCGGCAGAACCGCACACCGACCAUUGUUGUCGUCUGGGCCAUCCUCCUCGCAUCAAUCUUUUCCUUGCUGUGGGUUCGUAUUGAUCCAUUCACCACUCGGGUCACUGGUCCAGAUACUCAGCAAUGUGGCAUCAACUGCUAGAAGAUUUGAAGAUAUUAGGAACCGAAUUGGCCCCCAUUGUGUUGUAAGCUAUCAGCGGGUGACCCUUUCUAUAGUUUGAUAGGAACUUGGUUGUCGGAGAGUUACUUAUGUGCUAAUAUGUAUCUUGUCGUUUAUCGUGCAAGGUUGUGGAAGAACAGUCCCAGAUUUUGUCCAAUUUGCGUUCCGGCAAGUGCUUUCUAUGUCACCCUUGGUACCCUCCAUUUUCGGGUCAAUGUUCUGCAACACGAUGCCAUGGCAUGGGACAUUCUCGCUGCAGUUCAACUUGAUGGCAUCCAUCGAAAUAGUUGUCCCCCUGAUGUUCUUGAAGACCACAUUGCUUACCUCCACUGCUGAUCCCUGUGUUUUGCACGGUUUCGCAGAAUCACAGCAGUUUUGCUAGAACCUGAAGACACAACACAUCCCAUAUGAUGUGGAAUUUUGAACAUA